rnacentral:tRNA from 1 species
GGUGCUUGCUCAAUGGUAAAGUGCUUGCCUUGCAUGCAUGAGGCCCUGGGUUCAAUUCCUCAGCACCA